UGCCCAAUGAAAAAUUUUAAAUGGCUGCAGUAUUAUGACUGUACAAAGGUAGCAUAAUCAAUAGUUUCUUAAUUAGAAGCUGGAAUGAAAGAACUAACAAAAAAUUAACUGUCUCUAAUUAAUAAUUAAAAUUUUAUUUUUAAGUUAAAAAGCUUAAAUAAAAUUAAAAGACGAGAAGACCCUAUAGAGUUUUAUAUAUAAUUAGUUUAAUUUUUUCAGAAUUUAACUAUUAGUAUAUUUUAUUGGGGUGAUCAAAAAAUUUAAGUAACUUUUUUUUUAUUACAACAAAUAUAAUUGAAUUAUUGAUCCAUUUUAUUGAUUAAAAGAUUAAAUUACCUUAGGGAUAACAGCGUAAUAUUUUUUUAGAGUUCUUAUUAAAAAAAAUGAUUGCGACCU
rnacentral:rRNA from 1 species